rnacentral:rRNA from 1 species
GGAUUAGAUACCCUGGUAGUCCACGCCGUAAACGAUGAGAGCUAGUUGUCGGGCAGCAUGCUGUUCGGUGACGCAGCUAACGCAUUAAGCUCUCCGCCUGGGGAGUACGGCCGCAAGGUUAAAACUCAAAGAAAUUGACGGGGGCCCGCACAAGCGGUGGAGCAUGUGGUUUAAUUCGAAGCAACGCGAAGAACCUUACCUGCGCUUGACAUCCCAAUCGCGGUUACCAGAGAUGGUUUCCUUCAGUUCGGCUGGAUUGGUGACAGGUGCUGCAUGGCUGUCGUCAGCUCGUGCUG